GACUACGGCUGUACUACCUUGAACAAGCCUGAUCUCAUCUGAUCUCGGAAGCUAAGCAGGGUCAGUCCUGGUUAGUACUUGGAUUAGUCC
rnacentral:rRNA from 1 species